rnacentral:rRNA from 1 species
AGCGAACGCUGGCGGCAGGCUUAACACAUGCAAGUCGAGCGGGCGUAGCAAUACGUCAGCGGCAGACGGGUGAGUAACGCGUGGGAACAUACCUUUUGGUUCGGAACAACACAGGGAAACUUGUGCUAAUACCGGAUAAGCCCUUACGGGAAAGAUUUAUCGCCGAAGAUUGGCCCGCGUCUGAUUAGCUAGUUGGUGAGGUAAUGGCUCACCAAGGCGACGAUCAGUAGCUGGUCUGAGAGGAUGAUCAGCCACAUUGGGACUGAGACACGGCCCAAACUCCUACGGGAGGCAGCAGUGGGGAAUAUUGGACAAUGGGGGCGAACCCUGAUCCAGCCAUGCCGCGUGAGUGAUGAAGGCCCUAGGGUUGUAAAGCUCUUUUGUGCGGGAAGAUAAUGACGGUACCGCAAGAAUAAGCCCCGGCUAACUACGUG